UUCAGAACAACUUGCCAAGAGAUGGAGUGGAUUUUCUGUCAUUUGAAAUCUCUAAAUCAGGAUUUUAUUUUAAUUAUUUUUUUUUUUAACUAUGUAUCUUUCUGCUCAUCCUUAGAAUAUAGACAAUGCACAGGAAUUACCAGCUGGAAACCUCUGUCUCGUGUUAUGCAAGGUAUCAAGAUAGUCCCUUCUGGCUGUAAAUCUGUGCAUAUAUAUUUUAGAUAGAGGUGACGAAAGAAUAGAAAGAACCAGAUAAAAAGGUGCAGAGGCUGAUGGUAGAAUUGUCUGGUUACUGGAGAUAUUAUUAUUCUUUAACAUUCAAUUUUUGAUUAAUUUCUUUCAGGCUCAGUCUUGAAAGGCUUAGGUCUUAAAAAUUAAACUAAAUAAGAAGAGAAUGUAGCUGGAGGGAUUUGCCACGGGAUGGGUUUUGCACAUAAGGCACAGCCAGAGGUGCUGGGGGUGGGGAGGGAAAGUGGAGAAUUUGUGAAUUAAGAGCAGGCAGGCAAACUGUUUAUCGUUGCUGUUGUUCUUAAAUCUAUGGAUUCCAAAGGGAGUGGAUUAUAUUUAUACAGAUGUAUAGAAAGAGGCUUUUGCUUGAAACAGCUCCUAAUGCAGGUGAAAACCAUGUAUUGAUUACUUAAAGAAAGUUAAAAUAAAAGCAAUUUUUUCCCCGUUUCCACACAUUGCAGCUUUUGGCCUAUCCACUCACAGCUAAAAAAGCAUUCUUUCCUGAUAAUCAAGCUUCAGCUGUCUGAAUUUCAGGCCGAGCCUCUCAUCUUGAGCUUUGCUGAAGAGCUUCUUUAAUUAACCAUUAUACCACAGAUGUUAUUGAUUUUUUUUUUUUUUCAAAUCUGGUUGAAACAUCAUUGUGCUGGAUCGUCGCCAAGAUGAAGGCCUGAAUUUUUUGUGCACUGCUUUUACUCCUUCUGCAUACCUUAUUAGUCUCCAUGUCUGUUAAGUGCAACCUGUAGUAUUGACUCAGAAAAUAUAGCAUUGAUUUUUACCCUUCCAGCCGUGAUCUAAGGGCUCCUAAUUUGGAACGUGGAAACCAGAGUUCUGCAAGAAGCUGUAUUACUGUACACUUCCUACAACUGCUGUUGCUACUGUGCAUCGUCCUGCAUGCUCUGUGCCUGCGUAAAGAGGCUACCGCUGUAAGACAAAAUCAUGUUAAUGGCUGGUACUGAUAAUGGGCAUGGAUCUCAUGCUUGGGAACAGCAUUUGUCGUCUUCAGCUUGAAGACCUGGAACAGGAGGCUGAGUCUUCAAGCACACCUUAGUGUAGGUCCUCAGCCUUCUCCACCUCUCUGGACUCUGCUGGCAUCUCCAGCAUGCAGGGGAAAGGCA